rnacentral:tRNA from 1 species
GCCGGGGUGGUGUAAUUGGUAGCCACGCAAGACUUAAAAUCUUGUGAGCCCAAUAAGCUCGUGCGGGUUCGAGUCCCGCCCCCGGCACCA